UACGUAGGUGGCAAGCGUUGUCCGGAUUUACUGGGCGUAAAGGGCGUGCAGGCGGUCUGUUAAGUCUAGGGUGAAAGCUCCCGGCUCAACUGGGAGAGGUCCUUGGAUACUGGCGGACUUGAGGGAGGCAGAGGAAAGUGGAAUUCCCGGUGUAGUGGUGAUAUGCGUAGAUAUUGGGAAGAACACCGGUGGCGAAGGCGGCGACCUGGUCCGAUACUGACGCUGAGGCGCGAAAGCGUGGGGAGCAAACAGG
rnacentral:rRNA from 1 species